rnacentral:pre_miRNA from 7 species
UAUUAAGGGAAAGUGAAAGAACCUAGUGGGGAAACCCCCACUCAAUUCCCGAUUCCGCGUGCACCCAAGAAUCACAAAUAGAACA